ensembl:lncRNA
GUAAACGGCUCCGUGGCUCACAGCAUCCCAGGGGCGUCUGGGCUCCCAGCCGGGGUUGCCUGAUUCCGACACUGCCGGGGACCCGGGACCACUGCUAGAGGGGAGUGGGCGAGGGGGGAGGGGAGUGGAGCUGAGGUGAGGCUGGGUGAGAGCGGUGCGUGGGAGCGUGGGGGCUUCGGUGGAGUCCACGCACCCUUCCCCACCGAACCCCAACUCAAGCUGCUUCACUUUUACGAGCCGGGGGUGCCCGGCGCCCCAAACCGCUGUUCUCCGCCCGCCAGCCAGCUUCAGCUCCGGGAGCGGCGCCCGGCGCCCGCUGCCCGCCAGCCACCUCCCCUGCACCUUGGACAGCGCGCCCCGCCGCUAGCGGCCCCCGGCCCCCGGCCCCGCCCAGGGAUCCUGUCCCGCUGGCGCUGCCCUCCCGCCGCCCUCUUCUUUCACAUUGUCACCCUUCCGCCCAGCAUCCCAUCUCCUCCUUGCCUUGGGGAACUCCGCUUUGGUGCGGACCGGAAACUUUCCUCCCUGACUGUUCUGCUCUGGUACUACUAUUGUUAUAUGUGACUGUCCCCUCUCUUGGGGACCUAGACACCUUGGACAGGUCUUCCUCGGCGGGAGCGCAUCCGGCCUGGCCCAGUCUGAGCCAAAGGAGGUACUGGUCAGCUGGAGUCGGCGGCUGCCAGGGUACAGAGCCCGCGCCUUAGCAGCUGAAUGCCCGCGGGUUCCCCGCCUCUCUGGACACGUGCGCGCCUCCCACGGACGCGGCCCCUCCCGGACCACCCCACGUCCCCCCCCCUUGCAGGCCACGGCCACCCCAUAGGUUGGACACCCGGGGAUCGUGGGUCCUGAUUGGCUGAAGGUGUAACCCCUCCUCCUUCUGGAGAGGGGUGGUUCUGGAGUGUUGUGGUUGUCAUCCAGUGGCGCGCACAUGGGGGAAGUGGGGUCGACAGGUGGGGAAACUCAGGUCUGUAGGGAACCCUCGUUCCACUGUGUGUAGCAGCUUGGACACCCUCUUUCCCUUGAAAUACACUUCUGCUCUUCUCUUUGCUCUCAUCCUUAGUCUUCACUGCUAUAACAUUUGUAAAAACCAGCUUGUAACUAUUUUAAAAUGAGAAUUAUAUUCUUCUGUGGUAGUGAUUUUUAGUAUUUGUGCUGCUGAAGCGAGCACAUCUGUGGUAGUGAUUUUUAAAAGCAGAACUAAGAGAAUAAGAGAAAUAAGCUCACAUGAAGAGGUUCAUGAAAAACCAGGCUGCAGAUUUGAGGGGUUCUGGUAGUUUGGCGAAAGUAAUGGAGGGUGCUCAAGGGAUCUGAAGAGAGUGGAGAAAGGGGAAAGGAAAGUAAUUCCUGCAGGAGAUACACAAGUGACAGACCUUAAGAAGCUGAGGAAGGAUAUGGGCCAUUUGUAGGGUGAGAUGUGAAGGAGAAAUGGAGGGCUGUGUCUGAAAAAGUGGUCAUUUUGACCAGUACUUUGUUCAUUACCACGCUUUGCUUUUGUUUUGCUAGCAUUGCACUUUUGGUAGGCAACUUUAUAGUAAUAACAUCUAUCCAUGUAAUGGAUAUUGAUUAUUCCAGUUUCUUGUAAUAUACAGAUUUUCAAAUUUUCAAAUGGUAAUGAAUUUCACAAAGUGAAAGGCCUCUCUAGGGGGUUGCAUUAAAUAGUUAAGUUAAAGUGCUUUUGAAAUGUUGUGAGAGAAGGCAGAUGAGCAUUACGUAAAAUCCAAAGUUUGUUCUGGCAUUAUUUAGGGCCUUUGCAGAAAUAUACAUUAAUGGUACUGAUUUUUGUUAUUUUAAACAGUUAUUGCCUCUAGCAUUUUCAAGCUUUAGUUCCUUCUGGGUGUUUUGAUGUUGGUCUGUACAUCUAAGAAUAUUGUAAUUCUUAUCUUUAGAAGCCUUGUCAAUGCAAAACAAACAGCAAGGAUACAAGUUAAUGUUGACAACUUACAUUGAGUACACUGUGUGUUAUUUUAUUUGUAAGCUAGUGAAAUAUGCAAGAGUAAUAUAGCAUGGGUGUAUCCCCCAGGGACUCAUAUCAAAAUAAAGUGGAGAAUCACAUGAGGCUAUUCUAGGGAGAACAAUUCAAUUAUUUUUAAGAUAAGUAAAAUUUAGGAUUCUUAAGUGAAAACAGCAACAUUAUUUGAAUUAUCUAUGUAUGCUUUAAUAGCAUAUAUUAAGUAAAAUAACAUUUAAUGUUAGAUGAUUCCAAAGUAGUUGUUAAAGCUUUCCUUUUAUUUUUAUGAGUUGUUUUUCUGAGUGAAGGACUUCAUAUUCAAAUGGGAUUUGAUACAUUUGAAAAACUGAAAGUUAUUGCUAUUGUUGAGCAAAUAAUUCUUACUAUGUUUUCAUUUCCCUAGUUCUUUCUUUGAUUUGCUGUCAGGGAUUUAGAUUCCAGUUGCAGGCCUACUAAAUUUAGAUGGGUUUGCAAAGAUAGAAGAAGAAUGUAUAUAAUCACACAUAUACACAUGCAUCUAUGUAAAAUAUGUGAAUUUAUGUCAACAGUUAUAUAUGCUUAUAAUUUUAGGGUACACUCACUGUAUUAAUAUAUAUGUUAUUGUCAUCCUUAGAAUUUUUGUUCAUUUCUUCUUGUCCAAAAGGUGGCCCUAUUUUAAACUGUAGAAAGCAUUAUCACCAGUAGAAUUGGCCAAUAGAUCAUGGAAACAGACAAUACUAUUUUGUUGCCUGGCAACCACCUACUGUGAAUGAAAAAACAAAGCAGUGACAGCUGCUUCCAUAUCCUGAUACUCAUACUGUAGCUCAGAUAUUGCAGCCCUCCAAAUGAGUCAGAUCUAAGCUUUAUUUCACUAAGGUGAAGCUAUUUUUGAAUGUUUUAAAAAGAUAUUAAUUUUUUGUAUUGUAAUAAGAAUUAUGUUGUUAUUGUGGGAUGAAAUGAAGCAUCUAGUUGCAAUUGCUCUCUUAAGUCUAUUAUAAAAUGAAAAAUGCAAAAUUAGGAGGAUUGUUUAGACCCUUCUCAUUCUUCCCUUUAUAGUCAUUAAACAUUGUAAGCGCAUUUUCUGCUGUCGUCAGGUGCUCUUAGCAUUUUACAAAAACUUGAGUUGUCUGUGAUACCUAAAUAGAUGGCAGGCUUUUACUGCUGAAAGGGAAGUAGAGAUUGAGGCUUUUGUCAAACCCUUUAAUUUUAAGGAACACUGAGGCCUACUUAGGUGACGUGACAAUCUUGGUGACAGAGCCAGGCUCAGGAUGUCUUCCCCUUGAGAACACUUGAUCAUUUCCCCCCACUUUCCUCCCUGAAUUAUUCUUUCUUUGUUCUUUGUUUACAUAAAAUUUGUUACAAAGAUAACAAUAAGGAUACUUAGUGCAGUAACAUCUGUAAGUCAAAAUUCAAUAUUGGAACACUAGGCUAGAUUGUGGGGCUGCAUUGAGGCAACAUAUUCUGCUUUCAUUCUCUAAAAGCCACAUGACCCCGACCUCUUUCCUCAAACUGCAAAAUCUCUUUCUUUGGCAGUUGUUCACAGCUUUGGACUCUUGAAUAAUCUCUUAUUCUGUGUGUGAUUUUUUAAAAUGGGAAUAAGAUUGAAGUUUGUGUUGGCCAGUUUGCCUACCUGCAAGAGUUUCAAUGAUAUAGGUAAUUAAUGAAUCACUAAUUGCAGUCUUCUUUUCUGCAAUGCAAGCUAUACUGUCCUGCUAGAUUAGUCACCUGUGCUCCUUAAAAUAGAUGAGACAAAUUCUGUUGCUGCAUAAUACUCAUUUCAGGUUUUUAUCAAAAUCAGCCUUCCAGAGAUGCCACCUGAUUCCUGUUAGUGCAAGGUGAGUCAUCUGUCCCUGAGAGAGGUGAUCGUGCAGGUUGUUUCUUACCUCUAUAAUGGCAGGAAUGUAUUAUUUGGUGGCAAACUUGGAUUGCAGAUGAAUAAUUUAGACAUUUCUUCAGAACUUAGGAAAUAUAUUACAUAUACAGUAUGAUACAGUUUGAGAUUCCUUAUGCCAUUUUAAAGAAUCUGUAUUCCAUUGUUUAUUAUUUAUGAUAAAAGCAAGUGUUUAACUUAAUAUAACAAUCUUAAGUAGGAAAACUUGUGGCAAGUUGAUUGAAGAAACAAUGUAAUGACAUAUUAAGUACCGUUGAGUAAUUUUCACAAGAAAUGAUGGACUUUAGCAGAUUUGUAGGGGGGGUAAAUUUAUUUACAGCAUGUUUAACCUAGUUUUAAAAGCCUGGUAUUAACUUGUUCUAGGUAGGAUUUUUUAAUAGGUUUCAAAUGAACUUCACUGAUUUAAAAAAAACAAAAGCAUGGGAUAUUUUCCACUGUCUGGGUGUUGUUUAUUCUGAAUAAGUACUUGUUUUGGAACCUAUGAGAUUAAUCUGAAUUUUAAGACUAUUUAAAAAAUUUUUCUGUGUUUGUAUAAUGUGAUAGUAAAUAUUAGAUAGUUCACGCAUUGACCUUAAUUGACUGGAAGCUUGAAAUUUAGUUAUCUUCCCUUUCCUAUUUUCCUAUAUAAGAUAAUGUAUAUAUGUAUAUUACAUGUUCAUAUAUAUAGGAAUAAACACAUACACAAUACUUAAACAAUAUUUCUUGCAAUUUUCAUCCUUAUGAUAGAAUGUUGUUGGACUUGAUUUGGUUUUUUUUAUAAAGAGAAACUUUAUUUUUAUUUACUUUUUAAAAAUUUAUAUAUUAAUUGGUAUGUUUUAGGUAUACAGUACAUUUACAUUUAUCAUUGGGUGUUUGUACCUGAACAUGAUGUAUCUUAGUUCUUAUUUUUUUCCCCAUUACCUAUGCACCCUUCACCCCCACCACCCUUCCCUAUUUACAUAGAUUUUCUUUCCAUUUUUUUUUUCCUCAUAAUUUUUCUUUCCUUUCUUCCCUUUCCCCUUCCCCUCCCGCCAUCCCUCCACCUUUGGACCUUUUCCUAUUUCACAUUAUCAAUUAUUUGUUUUAAUCAUUUUCAUCCUUAUUUACACUUUCAGUUUCUCACACUAGAGAUACUAUUCGGAAUUUACACAUGUGUGUCCUAUUUAUUUCACUUAAGAGUAAGGCCUCAAUAUGCAUCCAUUUAGCUAUAAAUGACUCUAGUUUCUCGUUCUUUAUGGCUGAGUAGUACUCCAUUUUAUUAAAAAACCACAUCUUCUUUAUCCAGUUUCCAGUUGAUGGGCACUUGGGCUGUUUCCAAUCCUUAGCUAUUACAAAUUGUGCCGCUAUAAACAUAGGUGCACAUAUAUCACUGUGGUAUGAUUCUUACUGGAUUUCAUCCUGCCAAAGAUUAAAACUAGACCCAUACCUAUCACUGUGCACUAAACUAAGAUCGAAGUGGAUUAAAGAGCUAAAUAUCAAGACAGAAACAGUAAACUUGCUGGAAGACAAGUUAGGUAGAACUCUUGAAGACAUUGGCAUAGGAAAAGACUUCAUGAACAAAACCUCAGCAGCACAGGAACUAGCAGAAAGAAUCAACAACUGGGAUCUCAUCUUAUUAAAAAGCUUCUGCACUGCAAGAGAAACUACCAACAGAGCUAAGAGACAACCUACAAUAUGGAAAGAAAUUUUUAGCAGCUGUACCUCAGACAAAAGUCUACUAUCGAGAAUAUAUAAAGAAUUGAAAAAAAUCAGACCCCCAAAUUCAAAGACCCAGUUCAAAAAUGGGCAUCCGAAAUGAACAGACAUUUCUCAGACAAAGAAGUAAAAACAUCAUGAAAAAAUGUUCAACAUCAGUGGUCAUUCGAGAGAUGCAGAUGAAAACAACACUGAGAUUCCACCUCACCCCAGAAAGAAUGCCUGCUAUCAAGAAAUCAACCAAUAACAAAUGCUGGCGGGGGUGUGGCGAGAAAGGAACCCUUCUCCAUUGUUGGUGGGAGUGCAGACUGGUGCAACCACUCUGGAAAUCCUUAUGGAGAUACCACAAAGAGCUAGGACUAGAGAUCCCAUUUGACCCAGCUAUUCCCCUACUGGUUAUCUUCCCCAAAGAAUUAAAAGAGAAACUUUAAAUAAGAGAUACUUACAUUUUCAAUUUCUUUAUGCCAGGUUUUGCUAUUAUAUCCCGUAAACUCUCACCCAUCCAAAUAGGAUGAUUGCUAAAAAUAAGCAGACAAGUAAAUAUAUAAGCAGGAUCCCUUUUGCUACUUCCAAACUAGCCAAGAAAGCAUAUUUUCUCAUUCUUAGACAUUUACUUUUGUGCACACCCACAUACAUAUAGAGUUUAAUGUCCUAUAGACUUUUUUUAGUGGUGGACAGAAAUAGUAUUUAAUUGGGAGAUCUGUGUAUGGUAGUAUUUUAAAGUAAAGACAAUAUAUAUAGAUUUUUAGAAAUGUAGUAGCAUAGGAAGAAUCAAAUUUAUUUAUUUUGAAAAAUUUUCCUAUUUUUACUGGCAGUAUAACCAAUCCACCAAACCUAGAAUUGUUUUCAGUAUCUGCAGCAGAACAUGACAUACAGCAGACAUAAGUAUUUUGUAGAAUUGUACCUUCCCUUUCUCUCUAUGGACAGAUGCAAAUAAUUUAGUCUUAUCUACGUGAAAAGUAAAAGCUUAGAGAUGGAGAAGAAAUUAGUGUAGUUGUCUAAUUGCUUUUGUGUAAGAAAAAGCCAAAAUAACUAACUUAGCCAGUGAAAUUUUGGAAUAUACUUCUUGUCAGUGUAGAAAGUUACACAGGGCUAUUGAUUUUUCACAAAUACUGCCAUCCCAAGUAUAGAACGAAUCUUUAAUAGCCCACAGCAGCAUAACAAAGGUUAUGGCAGCAAGUCUGAAGCAAUACUUUAUUUAGUUGGCAUUGGAGGGUGAAGUUUGCUAGCCCCAAUGUAAUUAUCCAGACUGGAAUAUAGCCAAGGUGCUGUGGUUAACAUCCCAAACUGGGAGAAAAGCCACAGAUGAGGUCUUAAGGACCUUAAGUGGUCAGAGCUGCUUCUUUGGUCUUAUUUUCAAGAGGACUCCAUGAGCAUCUAGAAAGCCUUAGAAACUAUCAGAUACUUAAGGAAUAGAGCCUGGAGUUGCCAUCCAGAUAUCAGGUGCCAAAAUUCUGCUCAUUGAAAGAUGUCAUAAUCCUAGGUGCUUGUUCCCAUUGAAAUGAGACCUUUUUCUUUAUCUUGCUACAUUGUUGUGACAUAGGUGAAGAGUGGUAGUGUUUGCAGACAACCAUAGAAGGUCAUAGGUUCCAGUUCCUUUUAAAUCUACCUUUUAAUUCUAACUUGCCUAGGCUAGGUAUUAUUUUCUUUGUAGGGUUUUGUUCCUAUUUACAUAUCAGCAAUUCUUUAUUAAAAUGUAAGUUGAUAAAUGGUUAAAGUCCAGGUUGAGUAUCCCUAAUCUAAAAGUACGAAACUCUAAAUCUUAAGCUUUUUGAGUAUCAACUUGAUAUUGCAAGUGGAAAAUUCCAUGCCGGACCUUACUGUGAAAGGUCACAGUCAAAACACAGGGGCAUUAAAAAUAUUAUAUAAAAUUAUCUUCAAGCUAUGCAUACAAGGUAUAUAUAAAACAUAAAUGAAUUUUAUGUUCAAACUUGGGUCUCAUCUCCAAGAUAUAUUAUUAUGUAUGUGCAAAUAUUUUAAAAUCUGAAAUUUAAAACACUUUUGGUCCCCAGCAUUUGGAUAAGGGAUAUUUAACCUAUACUUUUUUGGAGGAAUUCGUGAGUGUCUCACACAUAUUAGGUACCUAAUAUAUCUUUGUUUAAUUCUAAUAGUGAAAUUAUACCUAUUAUUUUAUUAGAUGGGGCCAGUUGUUUUGUUUAUGGAAUCUUCCAAUACCAUUUAAUUUGGGGAUUUCUUAUAUGAAUAGUGCUACAUUUGGCUCUGAGAAUCAUGAAGAUUCUUAAGACACGGCUCUGACUCAUGGAAGAGAACAUAUUCCUUGCAGGAAAGUGUACAAAUUCAAUGUGGUUUGACAGGUAACUGCAUAGGAUCAGUUGGCCUGGAAAGCAGGGCAGGAAACAGACGUUGGAGGACCUAGAAAGGUCAACCAGAGGUUUUGAAUUUAAAGGGAAUGGUCAGCUAUUCUCAAAUCUGCCUUUAAUAGGAAUCCCAUGAGGUGCUUGUCACAAUAGUGAUUUGUAGAUCUCGUCCAAGGCCCACUGUAUGGGACACUUUAGGGAUAUGGCCUGUGUAGUAUACCAUAUACCCUGUAUUCAUAUAUCCUGACAGUUCAUUCUCCAGUAUAUGUCUAGUAUUCUUAUGCAAGUAUCUCCUAUUCUGCACUCGAGGGCUUUCUUUCUCAUACAUGGGGUAGCUUGGUAGUGUAGCACAGUUCAUGGUCUCAAGAAUUUACCUCAGCCAUGACAGAAGAGAGUUCUAGAACACCCCAGGAUUCUUGGUUCUUGAUCACAGUAUCACAGUGACUCUGCUGCAUAUUCUAUACCAUGUCCCAGAGUCCCCUGACAUGAAACAGCCUCAGUAAACCACUGGGGAACUCUGUUGGACAACAUGAGUAUUAGUGGCUAUUUCUCUGCACACUUCUCUACCAGGACUUCAUAGCAUUUCCUCUUAAAUAAUGAGCUCAAAUUCCAUCUUAAAGUCUGCUUCUGGGGAAUUCAUCAUGAAAUAAGGCAGAAGCUUCUUUUAUUUUUUUAAUAAUGAAGCAAAUUUGGGAGACUCAGUCUCAUGUGAUAGGGAGCUACUUAAGGAUUUAGGCAGAGUAUUGCACUUUAGAUUUGGAAUUUAGAAAAUCACUGUGGCAGAUAUGUGAGAAUGGAUUGAUGGAGGAAGAACUGGGGGCAUGGAGACCAGCUGGGAAGUGGCACCGCACAGGCAAAUAGUUAUAAGCACUUAAGAUAAGGUGAUUACCUUGGAGACAGACAUGCAAGAAGGAAUUCAAGAUGAAUUUUGGUAGAAAGCUGUCUAGAAAAAUUGGUAUAACAUAGAUGUCUGUGAUAUAUGGUCAGCUAGCUCACAGCUACUCCGUAAAGGAGAUUUCAGUCCUCCACCCUGGCCCAUUGCCCUGGACUGCUCAUUAGGCUUGGCACAUCUAGAAGGGCUAGGAAUUCUCUGUCGUGCCUAUAAUCUUAGCUCAGCUUUCUAGAGUUAGGUUGAACAACUCUGGGCAUAAAUAAGACAAGAAGGAAAGAUAAAUAAUUCACCAUUAGAUCAUUAAAGGAAGAAAGUUAUAUUUUACUGGAAGGAUUUGUGAAGUUGUAGAGGAGAGUAGGAGAGAGAUCUGUGCUGCAUGUCCAGUUUGUGAUGAAUAGUGAUUUUUUUUCCCUUGCUUGUGGUCAAGAAGUGAUUUUCAUCUACCAUCAGUUUCUGGAAGACCUAGCAUGACUCACUGUGCACUUAUAGCUAUUGUUUUCCCUGCUGCUCUGAUAGCCUAUAUUUUAGCUAAGUGAAUGAGUGGUAGCUGGGGGUGGGGCUGGGUCUUUUCUCUUGUUCUGUCAUUAUGCCAGGCUUUCGACUGCAAUCUCUCCUGCCGGUUCUUAGGCCACCAGCUCCCAAAGAAGAUCAAGGAGUACAGAGAGUAGGAGAAAAAAAAGCAUAAAUCCAUAAAGAGAGCUGUUUUGAAUUAAAAGCUUAAUUACAAAAUGAGCAAGUUAAAGCUUGUUAGAUGAUAUGAAAUAAGAUAAGGCAGCCUUCUAAUUACUAUUAGAAUGAAUACUAAUAUUCUGGCUCUGUCUGUAGUCAGAAAUGUGAAGGCUGUAUAAUCAAACAAGCACAAUCUGAAACUAUCAUAUUUUUGCAAAAGUAGAAUUGAAUCAAUGACAAAAAGACUAAAUUAUGAGAAGUUGUAGAAUAGGUCAGCAAAGAGCUUACUGAGCUUUAACAGGGAGAACAGAAUCAUGACAGUAAAAGUGCUGAGCAUGUGUGUGUAAGAGAGGCCAGGUCACUAUGGAUGAAGCACAGUGUAAAGGAACAGGCCUCAUUAAUGUAGGAUAUUAUGCAUUUAUGUAUAUGUUUAAAAAUACUUUGCAUUUUGAGAUAAUUGAGGAUUCACGUUCAGUUGUAAGGAAUGAUACAGAGAUCCUGUGUGCCUGUUAUGGCUUGUAUCUUGGUGUCCCCCCAAAACCUCAUGUGCCCAUAGACAGGGCAUUUGGAAGGUGACUAGAUCAUGGGGUGUGAUACUGGAUCAUAGGAUUGUGAUACUGGAUUAGUCUACUGAUUAGUUUAUAGUUGGGUAUAGUACUGGGAGGUGAAGCCUGGUGGAAAGAGUUGGGUCACUGUGAGCAUGGCCUGUGUGUGUGUGUAUAUAUAUCCCUCCUCUUCCCUUGGUGGCUUGAUGCUUCUCACUGCCAUGCUAUGAGCAAGCCACCUCUGCCAUGCCACCCUGACUUGGAGCCAGCUGUGAGCUGAAACUUCUACAAAUGAUGAGCUAAAAUAAACCUUUUCUCCUUUACCUUGUAGGUAUCUGGUAUUUUGUGUCAGCAAAGAGAAAGUAACUAAAAUCUAGGUCCCACAAAGAUAGCUUCUUGUAAAACUAUAGUACAAUAGUAUAAUCAGGAUAUAGACACUCAUGUCUGGUUUUUCAGUUUUAUUUGCAGUCAUUUGUAUGUGUGUAUGAAUUUAGUUAUGUGUAAUGUUCAUGAUUAUUUUUAAAAGUCAGAGACUUUCUCAUUCUAGAAUUUAAAAAUUCACCUAUUUGGGCUAGCUCUGGCUUAACUCUGACUAAUGAAAGGAUAAUAUAGACUAGAUUCUGCUGUCCCCUUCCCAUUUUGGGAUUCUGCAGAGCAGCAUCAGGGACCACCUGAACACAGCAGGAAAGUCAGUGAGUGAGAAAACCAACUUAAAAAAAGAGAGGCUUAUUUUGGCUCAUGCUUUCAGAGGUUUUAGGCCAUGGUUGACUAGCUGCAAGGCAGAGACAUCAUGGCAUAAAGGUGUGGCAGAGGAAAGCAGCUCACUUCAUAGCAUCUAGGAAGCAGAGUGAAAGGGAAAGAGCCAGAGAAGGAGAUAGGGACCAGAUAUAGUCCCUAGCAUCAAGGCACUGUGAUCCAUUCCUUUCAGCUAGGCCCGGCCUCCUGGAAUCUCCCAAUAAUGCCAUCAAAUUAUGAUCUCAUCAAUGGAUUAAUCCACUUGAUGGAGUUAGAACCCUUAUGAUACAACACUUCCUCCAAAGCCCACCUGCUGGCCUUUAGCACAUGAAUUUUGGGGGACAUUUCAGAUCCAAACUGUAAGCAGUAGGCUAUUACACAGGGCAGAGCUUUCACUUUGUUUAAUUCUUUGUGAUCAUUGUGUGGCAAUAAACUGAGCUUUUAAAGUACGAGUUUUGUGACAGAAGGUUGCUCCAGAAAGCUUACUAUGACACCUCUUCCUCAGACCAGCAUUUCUAUCCUUCUUUGUGAUGGGCUCAGCAUUCUUUGCCUUUGUCUCUUCCUCUCUGUAUUGAGGGGCUCAUUGCUGCAGGAUGCUUGUCUGGAUUUCUGAGUUAGUUGACUUGCUCAGUUCAGCCUAUGGCAAGUCGUGCUGCGAGAAAGCAAGAAGCAGGACAAAGCAUGGUAUUAUUUUUUUUUUUUGCCUUUACUUAGGGCAGUAUCCUGGGAGGCAGAAAUCCCUCCUCUGUAGUAUAGCUUAUACUCAACACAUCUUUGGUUUUGGUUUUAGCUGCUCACUAAUCACCUUGGCUCAGGCUUUCAGCAAUAUUGCCCUCUGUUAUUGUCUCUUUAGCCUAAAGGAGGUGGCUGCUUCAUGCUCUUUUUAAUCUCAGACUGUCUGGCGUUAGGCUCUCUGGGCCUCAAUCGCUUGACUAAACAAUUCUCUAUUAAAUUUCCUCAGUGGGAAAAACUUGAAGAGAUUUAUAUUUUCCUAGUUAGAGAUUCCCCAGUUUCUCAAAGCAUGGAAAUGAUGCAAAUCUGAUGCACCCACAUUUAUAAUUUCACCCCUACCCCCAGGCAUCUCCAUCCCUUUACUGACUCUUCAUCCUCUGCUAGUCUCUGGUCUUCCAAGCACCAGUUUUGUUUUGUUAAAUUUAUUUGUCAUUUUGGCAGUCUCCUUCUGAUGUCUUUAUUAUUCUUUCAAAUCUUCAUUUGCUAACUUUCUCUGUCGUAUUUUCUGUCAGUAGUUCUUAGUGACCUCAUCUCUGUGUAAUAUCUUUAGCAUUUUGACAUGUUGAUCGCAUGACACACUACUGAAUAUGCUUUGGCUUAGAGGUUACACCUCUGCUACAUAAGGGUUUGGUUUUGCUGUACUUCACUUUUCUGCAUCAGGAUAUUUUUACACGUCUCAUUAGACUUUACCACCUCAUCUGUUAUAGAUGUGUGUGUGGUUCUUUAACAAAAACAAUGGCAGGAAUGUUGACAAGAAUGCUUUGGGGGAACAACUAAAGUCACCUGUACCACAUUGUGAUCACACAGACUGCCUUAAGGAAGGGGCCACAAAAGAGCAAUUUGGAACUUUUAGAGAUGGUGCUAGGCAGUGUAGUGAGUGCUCAGGUCCCUCUCCCGGCAGGAGAGCAAUCUUGUUGGUUGGUCCUAUAACAGCUUCAUACCUUCUCUAGGGAAAAGCAAAGCACAGAGCGGUGGUAGUUAAAGCCUCUAUUAAGAAAAAGGUUAGAGAUAUCUGCAACUGAGCUCUGGAAAUGGCACAUGAACUAUCCAGUCAUAGGUGUUCCAUCCUCAGAUGCCAGGAGCUGUUAGUUACUCUAGGCCAAUGGUAGAGAAAGUAUGGCACACGUGCUGCAGCAGGUUGUUUGUGUCAUUGAAAACUCUAAAAGGUUCACCAUCUCUGCUCUAGGCAUUGCAGCACACGUGGGGAUGUUCUUCAAAUUAACAGCCAUGCAUAUCACCGCCAGCUUUACAGAUCUGAGAUCUGGUAAAAUUAAGAGCUUUGGCGAAAGAUGAAUUUCAGUAUUGAAAAAUAGCCAGUGGCAUGGGUAGUUAAUGUGUCCUCCUGCCCUUGCAGUGGGAUUAGGGCUGGGAAUGUUUUGUGGGCUGGUGCACACGGUUAUGAACAGAUGGAUCUUUUUGGAAGCUGCCUGUAAGACUACUGGCUUGCCUGUGCUCUCCAUGAUGAUAAGUAGUGGUGAGCUGGGCUGGAGAAUUGUGGACUAGACAGCUCUGGGUGAGCUGACAAUAGACAAGAAAUAAGCUUAUUUUAAAUGGGCAUAAGCUUCAAGGGAAGUAAUUAAGACACACUUCAGCUUCAUGGAAAAAUUAGGGUUCCAGUUAAUACAAGAAUAAGAUUAGAAAUAAUAAAUUGCUUGCACACCUGUAAUCACUGAAGAACAGUUUAGUAACAAAACACCAGUUAUGCUUGCCCUUAAGUUUCUCCUCUCUUUUCCUUUUUCUUUAUCUCUCAGAAUUGAGUUCAGGAUCUUUUUCUCCCUGGUGGUACCCUGUGCAUUUUUCUUCAAGAAUGUUUUUCCUUUGUGAGAGUAGCCAGCAGUUUCUUGUGACAUUCUUCUGAAGUCUUGUCAUUUACCCAUUUCGGUGGCAUCUUUCUGUGGAGAUGCACACUCUGUUUCUUUUCUUCUUACUCAGAAAUGUGCAGUGGUAUGAGGAGAGAGUUUGUAAGUGGAACCUUCUUGAGCAUUAGGGACUUGAUUCUGCCAAGUAACACAAGCAGGUGUUUUGGAAGUUAGAGAAGCUUUUCUGUCAAGGCACUUUUUAUUGUGUGAGUUGACCCUAAAUAGUUUCUGAUUUUUCUCAUUUAGUUUUAAAGGAUUAUUCUGAACAUAUAUAUUUAAAAACUCAUAUAACAUUGUGAUGUAGCCUGACACUUAUUUUAUAGUUGAGGUAUAAUGUUUCUGGAGAAAAGCAUGCUAAAUACUCAUUGUGCCAAAUGAAUAGGUAUAUAUUAUGCCAAGUUUACAUUAGGUGUUGGGAACACAAUGGUGAGCAAAAUAAUCAUUAUUUUUGUCCUCCCAGCAACCGACAGCUUACUGGAAAGGACUUUAAAUAAACACAAAAACAAUUAUAUAAUUGGAACUCAUGAUACAUACAUGGAAAAGACCAAGUUUCUCUGAAAUGAUAUAAUGAGGAUGCAGUGGUCAGGGGAGGCUUGUGUGGGAGAGUAAUUUAUAAAUUAACACCUGAAGGGUGGUUGGGGUCAUCCAGGUGGGGAGUCCCAUGUGUGAUGGCCCAGGAAGAGCUUGGGUUUUGGAAACUGAAAAACUGCCAGUGUUACUGAGAACAGAGAGUGAGGGUAAACAGCAGCUGGAAAUGAGGUUCCUGAGAUCUAGGUUUGGGUUUGAUUAUGCCAGACCUAUUACAUGAUGCUGUGGGCUUUGGUUUUUAUCCUAAGUGCAAUGAGGAUCUACUGAAGAGUUGUUGUUUUCCUUCUUCAAAAAUUAAGGAGAAAUUUACACAAUAUAAAAUGAACCACUCUAAAGUGAACAAUUCAGUAGCAUUUACUGCAUCAACAAGGAUGUGCAAGUAUCUUCUGUAUCUGUUCUAAUACAUUUUUCAUCUUCCCAAAAUGAAGCUUCGUACCUAUUAAAGUCACUGAAGGAUUUUAAAGGAAGUGAUAUAGUCUAAUUUGUAGCACAUGAAAUCUUUCUGGAAAUAUUUUGGAGAAGGGAGUGAAGAGGUCAAGACUAGAGGCAAGAGAAUCAAGCUUCAGAUUAUUGUCAACUCCAAGAAUAGAUGGUGGUAGCUUUUAGGAAUAGUGGUUAUAGAUAUGGGGAUGAGGGGAGUGAUCCAAUACUGAGUUAUACAAUCAGAUUUGAUUAUCUGUAAGUGACUAAGUAACCUUGUAGUUAUCUAUAUCACUGAUCUAUACCCUUUUUAGGUCUAUCUAGGAUGCUUGUUAAAAGUAUAGCUGAUUGAGCCAACUCAAGCUACUGAUGCAGAAGGACUGAACAUGGUCCCUGAAGAAUUCUCAUUGGAGCUGAGGUUUGAGGACCAACCAUUACUGUUUUUUUUCAGUUCUGAUACACUUUAAGAUCAAAGGCUGCCAACAGUCUAGUUAAUAGGAGUGAAUGAGAACCAGACACAGAAUUGACAAAUGCACAACUAUAUGCCUGCUUAUAAUUUUGAGUAGAAGGGAUGCUUGUUAGGGAUAUAUCUUUAAUUUGAUCCUAAAGCUAAUAUACAAUAUAAACAAUUUGCGAGGUGGUGUUUAUUUUUGAUUCUUUCCUUCUUAGAGUACUGUGACUCUCCCAGAACUAAGUGGUGACUGAGUAAUGGCAUUUUUAUGAAAUGUAAUAUAAGUUCAGUGUAGUCAUCUAUUGUAAAUGAAACAAAUAACUGGUAGAAAUUAACUUGUAAAACAAACCAUCCUGAUAUCUUUUAGAUAACAUAUCUAUAAAACUCAUAUUACUUUAAAGGGAUGUUUACACCAAUAAACUGAUUUUAGAAGCCAGAGUCUUUGAGACUUUUCUUAGGAGAUCCUACAAACUAUAGUAAAAAUCACCAAUAAACAAAUCAAGAUUUUAUAUUUGACUUCUCUUUUCUGUUUGCCUUUACAAGGUUUUCCUAUAUCUGUGCUGCCCUUUAGAUUUGUCACUUUGAGCCUGAAUCUCCAGUGCCCAGAAGUCUUUCUAAUACCAUGGUGUUUAAAAAUCUUUUAAAUAAUCUCUUCUCCAAAUACUUAUAUAAUAUAUUUAACUAAAUGAUAAGUUUUGAACUGAAAGAGGUCACAGAGACCAUCUAGUUGUCUAGUUUGCUUGAAACCAUUACCUUGGGAGGUCUUGAGGUGAUAAGAAUAAGGUUCUGUUACUGAGAGGUGGAUCAGGUUCUUAGGUAUUUUUUGGAAAAUACUGUACUUUUGCCAGAUUUGCAUUGCUAUCCCUUAACAGCUUUUUGGAAAUUUUUUAAACUUCUGAAUCUUUAAUUGGAAGUGUCAGAAUUAAAGCAGAAGGUUGAGAGUCACAAUUUCCUUAAGCAAACAAAUUUGAAGUGACAUCAUCUGAAGUUAAUGGAAACUUCUGUGGUGUUAAAAUGUCUCACCAGGAAGACAAAGAGAAAAAGAUGAAAAGGAAUGUGACCUACUAGCUGUAGACCUAGUGCUUGGUGGACGAUGGCCCAGGGAUUGACUAUUUUGGAGCCCAUUAGUGCCCACCUGUACCUGGUUGUUGACACAUUCUGGCUCUGCCAUCACCUUGUUACUGUUCCAUUCUUCUUUCAAAUAUCUGGGGUAAAGACCAAUGAGGAGACAUUGUUGGAAGUGCUGGAAGCUGAUGGCUGUUCAUGUCUUUACUCUGUGCUUUCAAAAUUCAUAGUUGAAUUUAUUAGGAAUAACUAUGGUUACUUAGAGAUCAGUGAUUCUGGACUUGCGAGGCCCUUCCAUCUAGUUAAUGAGAAGAAGCUCGCUAGGAUGAUAAACUUUCAAGGACUCAAAAUAGAGGUGCUGUGUGCCAGGGUAGCCUUUCUUGAUGUGAAUGAGAAGGGCAUUUGAAUGGAAACCUAUCAGGAGAUGUCAGAGUUAUGGUGAAUGCCUUUUGAGUAUUUUCAGGCAUCAUUGCUUAUGUUCUCCUGUUUAGUCCUCAUUUAGUUUAUUUAUGUCAAUAAGAGUAAACUAUAACUUAGAAAGGUUAAGCUACUCGAUCAUUGACAUUGCUGUUAAACAGAAGAAGCAGGGAUUUUGAGACAUUCCUACUACAUCACGUUCCAUGAUGCUCCUUUUUAAAAAUAGAAAUUAUUAAUAGCAACUUGCUUUAUUUGAUUUUAACUGAUAUCACAGAAGGAAUAUAAUAUUGAGAACUGCAAAUAAGAUGGCAUUGGAAAGAGUCACCUAAGAAUCACAAAUUAUAAAAAUGGCAAGAAGUAUAAAUGGUUCAGAUGAAGUCUGCAGACUAGAGAGAAAACAAGAAAGUCAAAUCAGCGGUGACAAAGGAACAGUCUUGCCUGUGUGAAAUGGCUCUGCAAGUUGAGGGUUUUCAUGGGCAUGAAGCACAUGGAAAGAAGCCAAGUGGAACAAAUAGACAAGAUAAAGUGAUAUGGCAUGUGUAUAUAUUUUUAAGCUAUACAGGCUAAAGAAAUAUUAAUAACUUGUCAAAUUAGAAACAUUUAUCAUGGAAGCAUAUGUCCAUGAUAGGAAGUUUUAGUGGAGUUUUGGACAUAUCUGAACUUUUAUGCUAUGUUGAUUUGGGUUCAGAGUGCUAGAAGGAUAUAGAAAAAUUAGGUCAAACAGUAAUCUUUUCAAAAAGAGAAAAGGACAACUUACAAGUAAAGGUACAAGUUUAUCAGAGUGAACGUAUAUGUAUGUGAAAAGAGAACAUUAAGGGUUUAGAGGACUUAGUGGAGAAGAAAAAUGGCUUAUGUUCACUGAACUGGAGAUAUGUAACACAGGAUCGGUGCCUUUGACAUUUAGAAUAUGGAAGAGUUCCUUGUUGCAUGGGCCAAAAGAAGGGCCGCAGCCCUCAUAGGCUCUCCUCCACCACCUCUCUAAUUGUGGAAUGCCAGGUGGAGCUGGAGGGCACUGACAGAUUGAGUGGUACUAGUAAGUCUCAUAUUGCAUCUGGCAGCAAGUGUAUUGCUCUCCUCAGGCUCCUGCUGGCUGGUGCAUACUGCCUGUGUUGUGGUGUCUGCCAGUGGACAGCUGACUAAGAGCCAUGGGGGAAAGUACAGAGCUUUGGCAAGUGCCCAGCAGUAUAUGGCAGACCCUGCUCACUGUAAGUGCUUUGGUGGGAGCUCUGAGUGCAUUCUUUCCCACUGAUGCUUUAAUGAACCCAUUACAGAAUAUUUAUUAUAGUAUCUCUUUAAUUACCUUUAUUGAUGCCCAUGGCCAAUUGCACUGAUAUUUAGAAACUUUCUUUUAAUGUGCAAUCUAAACUUUUCUCUCCUUGGCUUGAGGCAGUUGCUGCCUGCCCUAUUUGGCAGUUGCUGGGAGUAACUGUGAGCCGUGGUGAUGUUAUUGGCUGAGGAGUAAAACAGAAGCCGAAUAAAGUUUGGCUUUUUGCAUACUUCAGGGCAGAGCUUCUGGUCCCAGGGUUAAAAACAACACAGAACCAGUAACUGAACAUGCCACUGAAUAGUGCAUCCACGAAUGGCCUUCGGUGCCCAGUGGGGCAUCUAUGUCUCAGUGUUGAAGAUGCUGCUGCAGACUUCCAGUUCUCCAGAUUUGUGCCCAUGUCUCUUUAGUCUUAAAAUCUUAGUGUGAAAUAUUUAGUACCCUAGGAAAGCUAAAUUAAUGGUGAGUCAGAGUAAUUAAGGCAAAGUAAAUAAUCUCCAAGGUUCUCAUUCCCCGUGAAACUAAUUUCAUAUCUUAUCCUUCAUGUGUUAAAAAUAGUUCUCUGCUAAUUUAAGAUGCCCAUGCUCUGUGUUGGUGAAGUGCACUUCAGUUCUAUUGAAAGGAUGCAGAUUAGAGAGUUAUUUUCAAUUGGGCACUUUUUUUUAAGGGAGAGAGAGACAUUCAUUUUGGCACCACAAGAGCGUGAAUCUCUCUGGGUGAGCUGAGAGUUGGAUACAGCUGCAACUGGGUGGAUGAUGGGCCAACUAGCUUAUGAUAACUUGCAGCUGGGACAUCCUUUUCAUCCUUUUAGUUAGAACUCUCAGUUACUGGCCUUCAGUUUACUAUUGAGAUUAGUUUAACUCUUGCAGGGUUUUUGACUGUGCAUAUCUUGACCUUGUCUUUGUCUACAAGUUUAGAAAGUAAGUCUGUUCAGGUCUUCUGAGCAGUAGGAACAUCAGGAUUUAAACAUAAUUUUGAUUACUUGUUGCCUUCAAAUAAUCAAAAGAUAUAAACUCACAACUAUUCCUUUAUUUAUGGACUUUUAGAUGUCAGUGCAUCAAAAUGCAUCUUCCUGCAAAUGAGUUCCAGCAUUGCAGCGGCCCAUUGUCCCAGGGCUGACAAGGAGAGUGGUGCUAUGGCUUGAGUGAAUGGCUAGCAGCUGUGCUUCCUCCAGUGAGUGAAAUUGCUUUAGGACUUCCUGUUACAGCAGCAGUCCUGAUCAAACACAUUUAUUGUGUGCUUGCUAAUGCUACAGCAGCUCUGAAUGUACGAAGAUGAUAUUCCUGCCUUGGAGGAACACAGAGGCUACAAGGAAAAUGGAGAGCAAUAGAUAAUUAACACUGUGUGAUCAGCCUUAUGAAGCAGGUAGUUUGGAAAUAUUUGAGAAGCACACUGAAGAGUGGGAGAUUAAUUCCAACAGAGAAGUUGGGCUGCCAUUCGGUGAGGAGAAUUAAACUUGGCUUCAAAGGGGCUCUCCAAAUAAAGAUGAUUAUUCCAAGCUGAGACACAGAAGCCCAAAAGAACAUAGUAUGUCUAGGGAGAGCAGUGUGAAGUGGCUGGGGCAUUGAGCACAUGUGGAGAGUACAAGGAAGGUCAUACAGCUUAUAGAUUAGAAUUGGGAGGGUACAGGGUUUUCUUCCUAGUUUGAUGUUUCUCCUUUAUUCUAGGUUCGGUUUAUUUAGUUCCCCAUCAACUGCAUUCUGAAUACCCUCUCUCUAUACAAGCCAUGUUAAAGGUUGUGACAGCUAGGGAUUUCACUUGACAAGCUUAUCGCUUUUAGCUAGGGGUAUAGCUUAUAUUUUGGUCAGCAUACAGAUCUGUGCGUGUUCCUACAGAUUAGUUAAGGGGCAGUGAGUAGCAGCUGAGGCCAAAAUGUAUUCAGCUAAGUGAUUUUGGCAAGUAAAACAAAUGUCAUUUUACUCAACCUCAAUAGGUGUAUAGCACUCUUACUAUAUGACUCCACCCUAGUUUUGAAGUCUCACAUGUUAUGUCUGUUUGGCACUUGAGAAUACAAAAGCUUUAGUAAUUAUUUUGAAGAAGAUGGUAUUUUUAAGCUAUUUCUCCCUAUCGAAAAUGACGUUUUGUUCACAGAGAUGAGUAAGUGCUAGAAAUAAUUGAGAAAAACUUAAAGAGGGUAAAAUGAGGUAAGGCAUGUUGUUAGCUGAUACUAUUGCCUGAGAGCAGGCAAUGGUUUUGUUAGAUUUUGUACACUGUAUGUGAUGUAAAGAACAAACCUUUCCAUUUUUUUCCCCUGAGAACCAGGAUGUUAUCUCAGUAAUUGAAAAUAAUCUUCUAAAGUUGCUCUUUAACUAGAUUUACACAAUCCCCUUUCAAAUCAGCUGUUAUCUGCCCUUACAUUUCACAGUAAAUGUUGCUGUCUCCACAGCCCCUGCUAACAAGAAGAUCAAGUGUAACUCCUUUCAUGAUUUGAAAUAAAGUGUUUCUAUUGUAAUUAUCCUGGCUCUGGGUUGUGCUGUUACAAGUGGGCUCAUUUCUCGGCUGCAUUUAUGAGGAUGUUUCAUUGUGGAAUGUGAAGCCCUCUGUUGGAGCAGUGUUUUCUUGCACACACAUCUUAAGGAUUUCUUUAACUCUCCGAAUCACUUUAAUUUUUCAUAUUUGAAAAUGUUUUCAUAACUAUUUAAAGAUUGUGGCUAGGAUCAGGGUGUGAAGUAAGUUUGGGAAAUUUUUUCUUUCACUAUACAGGGUGACACUAGUGAGGUACUAUAUUCCCUGUUUAUAUCUUUACUGACCUCAUUUUGGCAAAAUUAGAAUAAACACCAUGCCUAUUAAGCUGCAGUAGGCAGGUUUUGAAUAGGUGUUUUAUGAUAGUGGUGAGGGAGGUAAGCAUUAAAAUGUGCUACCAGGGAAUAUUGUGAAAAGCUUUGGAAUUUCCUUUGGAAUUCUUCAUGAGAAGGACAAAUUCUCACAUGUUUAGAACAUAAAUUAUCUAUGAAUUUUACAUGUUUGUGAUAAUCCAUGUAACUCUAGGUAGUGCUCAGGUUUUAUUAUUGUUAGGUUACUCCACUUAAUCUAAAAAAGACCUGCUUAUAUUAGGCCCUCUCUUCUCUCCUCUCUCUCUCUCUCUCUCUCUUUCUUUCUACAUAGUCCAGGCUGGCCUUGAACUCUUGGUGAUCUUCCUGUCUCAGCCUCCUGAGUGCUGGGAUUAUAGGUAUGUGCCACCAUGCUUGGCCUAGGCCAGGAACUUUUUUUUUUUGGUACCAAGAGUGGGG